rnacentral:rRNA from 1 species
UGCGUAGGUGGCCGGUUAAGUCUGACGUGAAAUCUCCGAGCCUAACUCGGAAACUGCGUCGGAAACUAUCCGGCUCGAGGGUUGGAGGGGGGACUGGAAUACUUGGUGUAGCAGUGAAAUGCGUAGAUAUCAAGUGGAACACCAGUGGCGAAGGCGAGUCCCUGGACAACUCCUGACACUGAGGCACGAAAGCUAGGGGAGAAC